GAUUAAUUGGUUCCCAGAACAAAGAAUGCAGCAAGAUAAUCCCUACUUAGGGCAAGCGGGUAGGGGUGAGACGCACCUGUGCAAGUGUUUACUUCAUCUCCAGAGAGGUGAUCCAAGUGUCAGCGCAGGGAUCCUGGUUUGGUGUCUUCCAACUCUUAGCCACUCCCUAGUUCUAGCAGCUGCUUGAGUGUCUGCCCAAUUUCUGGAAGGGAAACCUGAAACUUCACCCUCAGUUAUAAACCCAAGUUGACAUAACAGGGAACUAAAUUCAAGAAAAGCCGAAUAACUUGGUCACUCCACUUGUAUGUGACAGAAUCACCAUUCUUGGUUUUCCAUUUUUUUAUUUCAAGAGAAAUGAAAACUCACCAUUCUCAUGGACCCGGACUUCCUCAGUUGCUUUGAGGCCAAGAAGGGCCCAAAACAAUAACUCUGAAACCUACAGAUAAAAGGGAAAGGCCUCUAUCACAGACCUUCCGAAACGAUAGCAUCAUUUUUAAGAGUUAUUGCAUUUUAUACUUGCAAAAGAACACGGUGACAUUUGGCAAAGACAUCGUACUGGACAUUGUAUCCCAGAAUGCUGGAUGAGGUCAGGUUGAAACACCUGACAGAGUGGAGCAGCCGCCUCGUUCCUCCAUCCUGCCUCAGACCUGUUCUUCCCUGCCCCCACUCCAUCCAUGGUGAUGCCUCCCACAGCUACCAUAGCACACACUUCUGUUCUUGUCAAGCAGCCAUGUCACUGGAUACUCUGGGGGUCUGACUUCAUGGCUUGUUUGUGAUCUCCCUCCUGGAGCAAGAAUUUUCACUCCAAAUUCCUACACGGGGAACUUGAGAAUAUUCUCCCCCUUGCCAUAGUGGUAAAGAUGGCCCCACUUCCUCAGUGUUCCCAUCACUUACACAGUGGCAACAGGAACUCACUCACCUUCUGAGUGAAUAAGAAACCUACAUAAGACAAUGAGCAUGAGAAACAUAAAUGCAGUUUUCCUCUGUGCCAGCAGGUUUUUAUUUUCUCAGGGUAAUUAGGGCAAUUUUUCAUGCAUCUCUGAAUCUGCAGACCUUAGAAAAAAUACAUGGAAAAAUAGUAUUUAAGACACAGUCUAGCAAUCUGUAUACGGGGUAAAGUUGGGAGUUCAUAACCCACUUGAAUCAAACUGUGA